rnacentral:pre_miRNA from 1 species
ACUGCUGAGCCAUCUCUCCAGCCCCCUAAAUUCCUUUUAAAGUAAAUCCCAUCCCUCAAACUUUCAAAAACAUUGUUUAAAAAACAUUCUGCAGGGCUGGAGAGAUGGCUCAGCAGU